GGGAAACCGAGUCUUAAUUGGGCGUUAAGUUGCAGGGUAUAGACCCGAAACCCGGUGAUCUAGCCAUGGGCAGGUUGAAGGUUGGGUAACACUAACUGGAGGACCGAACCGACUAAUGUUGAAAAAUUAGCGGAUGACCUGUGGCUGGGGGUGAAAGGCCAAUCAAACCGGGAGAUAGCUGGUUCUCCCCGAAAGCUAUUUAGGUAGCGCCUCGUGAAUUCAUCUCCGGGGGUAGAGCACUGUUUCGGCUAGGGGGCCAUCCCGGCUUACCAACCCGAUGCAAACUGCGAAUACCGGAGAAUGUUAUCACGGGAGACACACGGCGGGUGCUAACGUCCGUCGUGAAGAGGGAAACAACCCAGACCGCCAGCUAAGGUCCCAAAGUCAUGGUUAAGUGGGAAACGAUGUGGGAAGGCCCAGACAGCCAGGAUGUUGGCUUAGAAGCAGCCAUCAUUUAAAGAAAGCGUAAUAGCUCACUGGUCGAGUCGGCCUGCGCGGAAGAUGUAACGGG
rnacentral:rRNA from 1 species